UGAUUUCUCUAAGGAAUUCUAAGAUAGGUUUAAGGGCAAAAGAUUUGUCACAUUAACUACAUUUGUAAGGCUCUUCUAUAUGUAUGCUCUGAUGCCUUUUAGAUAGUUUUUCUCAGGAAUGGACUUGUCAUACUCACAGAAUUUGUAAAAUUUCUUUCCUGUAUCAAUUCUCAGAUGAAUUUGAAGACACCUUUUAAAAUAAAGAUUUGUCAUAUUCAUUACAUUUGUAAGGUUCCCCCUACGGUUCUCUGCUGAGUUCUAAUAGAGUCUUUCCUGAUAAAGAGUGUUCAAUAUUCCUUUCAUUCCUGAGGUUUCUCUUCUUUAUGUAUUAUCUGAUAUUUUCUAAGACUAUCUUUAAAGGUAAAACAUUUGCCACAUUCAUUAAUUUGUAAGUUUUCUUUCCUGUAUGAAUUCUCUGGUGAACUGUGAGAUGACUUUUCUAGGUAAAGCAACUGACACAUUCACAGCAUUUGCAAUGUAUCUUAGUUAGGGUCUUACUACUGUGAAACACACUCCAUAACCAAGGCAACUCUUAGAAAAGACAAGAUUUAAUUGGGGCUGGCCAACAAGUUCAGAGGUUCAGUCCCUUAUCAUCAAGGAGAGAGCUAGGCAGUAUAUCAGCAGACCUGGAGCUUAAGGAGCUGAGAGUUCUACUUCUUGUUCUAAAGGCAAACAGGAGAAGACUGGCUUCCAGGCCGCUAUGAUGAGUGUGUUAAAGGUCAUGCCCAAAGUGACAGAACUGCUCCAGAAGGCCACAAAUACUCCAACAUGUCCACACAUCCUAAUAGUGCCUCUCCCCGGGUCAAGCAUAUACAAACAAUCACAUAGCGUUUCUCUCAUGUAUGAACACUUUGAUGAUAUCUAAGCCUCUUUCUGGGUUAAGAAUUUGUCCCAUUCACCUCACCAGUAAUGUUUCUCGCCUGUGUGAUUUUUCUGGUGUUUUCUAAGAGAGCUUUUACUUGAAGCUUUUUACUUGUCACACUCACUAUAUUUAUAAGGUUUCUCUGUUGUAUGAAUUCUUCCAUGAAUCAUAAGAUCAUAUUUCUGGGUAACAUAUUUGCUACAUUUACUACAUUUGUAAGGUAUUUUUCCUGCAUCAAGUCCUUGAUGACUUCUAAAAGUGACUUUAUCAAUAAAGCAUUUGCCACAUUCACUACUUUUGUAAGGUUUCUUCUGUGUAUGAAUUCUUUCAUGGCUUCUAACACUGCCCUUUUCAGUAAAGCACUUGUGGCAUUCACUGCAUUUGUAAGGUUUAUUUCAUGUAUGAAUUCUCUGAUGACAUAUAAGGGCACGUUUGUAGCUGAAGCAUUUCUCACAUUCACUACAUUUGUAAGGUUUCUCUCCUGUAUGGAUUCUUUGAUGAACCGUAAGUUGGGAUUUCUUGGUAAAGCAUUUGUCACAUUCAAUACAUUUAUAAGGUUUCCGUCCUGCAUGAAUUCUCUGAUGACUUCUAAGACUGCUUUUUGCAGUAAAGCAUUUGUCACAUUCAAUACAUUUGUAAGGUUUGUCUCCUGUAUGAAUUCUCAUAUGAAUAACAAGACUGCAUUUUUGAGUAAAGCAUUUGUGACACUCACUACAUUCAUAAGGUUUCUCUCCCGUAUGAAUUCGUUGAUGACUUCUAAGAUUGGAAUUCUUGAUAAAAGACAUGUCACAUUCACUACAUUUGUAAGGUUUGUCUCCUGUGUGAAUUCUCUGAUGAACUGUAAGUUGGUAUUUCUGGGGAAAGCAUUUCUCACAUUCAUUACAUUUGUAAGGUUUCUCUCCUGUGUGACUUCUCUGAUGUUUUCUAAUUUGCGAGUAGUAGAUAAAAGAUUUGCCACAAUGACUGCAUUUGUAAGUAUUGCCACGAGGGUGGAUCCUCUCAUGUUUUUUAAAGCCUGAUAUAUUAUAAAAGCAUUUACCACAUUUGCAAGGACAUUGUCCGUAAUGAAUUUUGUAAUGUUGUUUGAGCUGUGACAAAUGCAGAAAGGAUUCACUGCAGUGUGUACAUUUAUAGGAUUUCUCUCUAGUAUGUGCUCUCUGAUGUCUACUGUCACCUGAGUACAUGUUGAAGCAUUUCCUAUAUUUCCUGAAAUUGUGUGUCUUUUUUCCACUACUGUUACUUUGUUUCAGCAUGAGUUUAUGUUUUGAAUCAAACAGAUUUUCAUGCUCUGUAGUGUUAGGUUCUUUCUCUCCUAUAUGGAUUCUUCCAUUUUGACUAAUGAUGGAACACACAUUCAAACAGUUCACACAGUCUUGGAAUUUGCAAGGUUCAACUCCAGUCUUCCCAAUUUUGUUUUUGUUUAGGUUCGAUACUUUGACAGACUCAUGUUUAUGUUUGGUUCUGGAAUGUGUAAUUUGUGAGGAUUCAUGAAUCACUUUGACAGGCUCAUUACAUUUG
rnacentral:lncRNA from 1 species